CGACCUCAAAUCAGGUAGGACUACCCGCUGAACUUA
rnacentral:rRNA from 1 species